rnacentral:lncRNA from 1 species
GGAAGUAAAUGAUAAUUCAAUUGACGUGCGCGAGCUCUAGUAACUGGUCCAAUAGGUAUAGCAUGUUUAUCAAUGAGAUGGAUGUCCUCAUGAAUUGGCUAGGACGAAAACCCUGUUUUCUAUUUGUGCUACAACUUCAAGGUUAAGGAGGACACCCUCACCUCGCGCACCGAGCCCAUCAACUUGUGGUAGAAGAGAAGAUUUGCACGACCAGCGGCAUAUGAAAACCCAUGGUGAGAUGAGAGAUGGGGGGAUAAAGCAUUCACGUUAACAUAGUAAUCAUGUUGCAGCUUAACCAUUUCACUUUCAUGUUGCAACUUUGAAAUGGGAUAAUUUGUUAGUUUUGUGUAAUUGGUAGCGCUGUGUACUUCGUUACUGUAUCUACAAUUGUUCUAUUGAUUCUGAAUUUCUAUUCUAAGUACUCCAAUUUAUGUGCUGAAUGCUUCUGAAUUUCAAACUGAAUUGCUAGGUUUUUCCUUCUUUGAGUACGUUCCUGCACUCCUGCUGAAAAACUGCAAGUGUGGGCGUCUGGCAUGGGCAAUUUUGCCACCUAAAAUCUGCUAAAAAACUGGAAGUGUGGGCGU